rnacentral:tRNA from 1 species
CUCUUAUUUUAAAAGAAAGUAGUUAAACUCUACUAUUAAGGA